rnacentral:lncRNA from 1 species
ACAAUUCCAAGCUGAGAUGAAGCCUACAUUUUAGAAUGCUUUUAGAUAUUUUUAGUGUUUUGCAAGUUUUCAUUUAUUUUCUAAAUUGAGCUACUGAAAAAUAUAUUAUUGUGUUGCAUCGAUGGAUGGAUUGGAUGUAUGGAAAUGUGAGAGGGAUAAUAAGAAUAGUAUAGAACAACAUAAUAACUCUAACUUCAGAGUCAUUUGUCAAACAACUUGGAGGACUAGAUUUUGUACAACUUUAUUUCCGCGACAACAAACACAAUAAGCAUAAGUUACCAUGUUUUAAAGAAAUGAGCAUGUAAAGAAAAUAAAGCAUAAAUAAACAUCAACACAAAUUGACACCUUUAUAAUUUUUCACUAUAUGAAUCAUACAUCGAUCAUCCCC